GGUAGCACGCCUGCCCGCGGGACGGCCGGGCUCGGCCCCGCCGCGGAGCAGCUCCCGCGGGGGCCUGGCCGCCGGCCUCGCCUCAGCGCCCUGAUCGGGCUGCGCGUGCUCCCUUCCCGCCGCGGGCGGGACCAUUAACGGCCGGUAGGAGCCGGUGUGGGGGGGGGGGCGGUGUUGUGACGUCUGUCACCGAACCUUCCAAAGAGGCGGGAUCGAGCUGCCUGUAACCUGCCCUGUGUACACCUAGAAAGCUGCUUUUCACACCAAGGUACCAGAGGUGAAAUCACUGUGAUUAACAGCUAGAGGAAUGUUCUUCAAGGAAGAGAAGCAGAGCAAGUGAGGUUAUUCAUAAAGGAGUCAUCAUCUAGUGGUUUGGGUUGUUGUAGGAAACAGCUUCUGAUAUAUCAAGACAAUCUGCUUUUAUUGCUAGAAGUCAUACCUCCUCCUCAAAUGAAACCAGGCUAAAGAUCGUAUAUAUGGGGACAUCCAUGGAGAGAACUGAAAGACCAAAAGCUACUAUAAAGUUCAGUGCACACAACUGGGAAACCAGACUACAGGGUUACUGGUAUUCUCUGGCUCUCGAGUCUACUGCUUUUGUUCUUACAGCCAGAGCCACAGCUAACAGUGAGAUGGACACAUGAAGGAGAAAAAUAAAUGAAACCCUACUGCUAGCAUUGUGCUGUUGCACUUUGCAACCUCAUUGCACAUUUCUGAGUGAUAGUGUGAGAGGUGGUGAACAACAAAUAACCAGAACGAGCUGCUUCUUUCCAGAGUCGUCAUCUAUUUCCGAGGUGAAGUGGUUACCCAGAGUGUGACAAAAUUCACUUACCACAAAAGCUUAUACAAUUUGAGACAGAAAUGUAAAACUGCACUUGUACACUGGAAAAAGUCAACUACAUUAAACUGGCGUUAUGUGAUUUUAAUUGAGAUGCUGCCGAAGGACAUUUCUGUGAACUUUUCUGUCACUGAGAAUUUAAGUGCUCAGAAGAAAUCAAGAACUUAAAGAGACUUCAAAAGACUUGAAACAGCUCAUAUUAACUGAGAAUGUGCUUUAUGGAUGGAUAUCAUAUCUUCAUGAUUAAAAUCUCACGAUUUUUGAUGAACUGGCUUAAGACAUAAAAAUGCUCACACCAUCUGGCUCUUUAGCUUUCCAGCAGCCAGGUGUUCUUUUAAGUACUAUAAUUUAAGUACAGACCAGGCUGCAUCUUGAAAACUUGAGAAGCGCAUAGCACCAAGUAUUUAAAACACUUCUCUUGAAUAACUGUAGAUUAUGGUUAAUUCCUCCACUUCAACAGAUAGGAUUUGGGGUGGGGGGAUGGGCAGCAUAUAAGAACUCCACAGAACUGAAAUUAAAACAGUCCUAUUAAUUAUUGGAUGACACAAUUAAAUGCUUUUAAUUGACUUCUCAGCAGUCUGAAAUAUUUCAUUUUUCCACAAUUUAUACUGAUAUUGCUUACACCAGAGUUUACAACACACCAGUAUGAGAGAGACCUCUUAUGAUCCACUCGAAUACCUGCAUGGUCUCUAUGAGAAAACACCAGCGUAAAGACUUUAGCUUAGCAUAGAAAAGAUCGCCAUUUUAGUAAAUGCAAGACUAUCUUUAUACAGGCUGCAACAAUUGCACUCAAAGAAUGACAUUUAAACAAACUGAGUCAAGAUGAUGCAAAAUAUAAAUAUUUGAUUUAAACUUGGCUUGUAUUGAUUUCACUCUCUUCAACAGAUAAAUCAUGAGCUAAAUUGAUGUGAGAUUCUGGCCAAAUUACGACUAGUCCACUGUCUUUUACACAAAUUCAUUACUCUAGUUCUUACCAGACUUAAAAGAAAAAAAAAAUAAAAAAAUCAACAAACUGGUGAAAUGUUACUUUAAACUUCUUGGGCUGCAACUAAUCACCCAAGAUUAAUACAAACUGUAGUGCACUGUUCUUUUCUAUCUGCUCAUUACUUUAAGAGUGAAACAAGUUGAAAUUACA